ACUCCUACGGGAGGCAGCAGUGGGAAUAUUGCACGAAAUCGGGCGCAAGCCUGAUGCAGCCAUGCCGCGUGUGUGAAGAAGGCCUUCGGGUUGUAAAGCACUUUCAGUCGUGAGGAAGGUAGUGUAGUUAAUAGCUGCAUUAUUUGACGUUAGCGACAGAAGAAGCACCGGCUAACUCCGUGCCAGCAGCCGCGGUAAUACGGAGGGUGCGAGCGUUAAUCGGAAUUACUGGGCGUAAAGCGC
rnacentral:rRNA from 1 species